UCCCCUGUAGCUCAGCGGUAGAGCAAGUGACUGUUAAUCACUGGGUCAUUGGUUCGAAUCCAAUCGGGGGAGCCA
rnacentral:tRNA from 1 species